UUGAGUUCAGGUGGGUUACCCCAGGGGGAGCACAGCAGGAGGUGUUCGGGGAAGAUGAGGAAGGUGAUGUUCCAAUGUCAAAAGCGGACACUUUUCUACCUGACGCUUGCUGGGGCUGAGCCGCUUCCUCCCACGCAGUUCCCGCUACUGACCCGCUCUUCCCCAACCCUCCCUCACUAAGGGAGGGGAAAACACCAAAACUCCUGUGUUCUUACGUAUCUAGCAUGCCGUAUAUAGACUUUCAUAAUUUAGGAUUAUGUGUGCAGUCAUCCUGUUUACUCCAUUGCUUUAUAUUAAGGGAGGCUUAAUGAUUUCCUCAGUCAAGUCAUUUACUUCUAAGCCAAUAGAUAAUGCCUUCGUCAUAGUUUUCUGGGGGGAAAGUAACUGUGCGUUUGUUCUGCAGAUGCCCAACUCCCUCUGAAUCGUGCAGACUGGUGCUGAGCACGCAACAAAAGUUUUUAGCUUCUCCUCAGUUUCUGGUGCUUCGCAGGGGAGAGGAAAGGACUUUGGCAUUAAACACAAGAACCAGUCAGGGAGCCAUCUCCUUUAACUUUUCUUCUCUGUUAUCAUUUGCAAUGAAGAGGAAACAGAAGAGAUUUCUGCAGAUGACUUUGUUAUUCAUGGUGGCUUUAAUUUUCCUGCCCAAUAUUGGUCUCUGGUCUCUGUACAAGGAUAAGCACCUGGUGAAAUCUACAGAACCCGGGGAGCAGCAGGUAAGUGCCAUCUGGAGAAAGAUCACAGGAGGAUUGGUAAGGCGUGCAACUCGCGGGGACACAAGGAAGCAAGCGUGGG
rnacentral:lncRNA from 1 species